rnacentral:rRNA from 1 species
CGUAACAAGGUCUCCGUAGGUGAGCCUGCGNNNGGAUCAUUACACAAAUAUGAAGGCGGGCUGGAACCUCUCGGGGUUACAGCCUUGCUGAAUUAUUCACCCUCGUCUUUUGCGUACUUCUUGUUUCCUUGGUGGGUUCGCCCACCACUAGGACAAACAUAAACCUUUUGUAAUUGCAAUCAGCGUCAGUAACAAAUUAAUAAUUACAACUUUCAACAACGGAUCUCUUGGUUCUGGCAUCGAUGAAGAACGCAGCGAAAUGCGAUAAGUAGUGUGAAUUGCAGAAUUCAGUGAAUCAUCGAAUCUUUGAACGCACAUUGCGCCCUUUGGUAUUCCAAAGGGCAUGCCUGUUCGAGCGUCAUUUGUACCCUCAAGCUUUGCUUGGUGUUGGGCGUCUUGUCUCUAGCUUUGCUGGAGACUCGCCUUAAAGUAAUUGGCAGCCGGCCUACUGGUUUCGGAGCGCAGCACAAGUCGCACUCUCUAUCAGCAAAGGUCUAGCAUCCAUUAAGCCUUUUUUUCAACUUUUGACCUCGGAUCAGGUAGGGAUACCCGCUGAACUUAAGCAUAUCA